ACACAAGUCAGAAUCCUCUAUGAAGAGGAAAUGUCAGUUGAGAAAAUGACCCAUAGGCAAGUUUGUCAGGGCAUUUUCUUGAUUAAUGAUGGAUUUAGGAGGGCCUAACCAACUGAGCAGGUGGUCCUGGGCUGUUUAAGAAGACUGGGCAAGGCAUAAAGAACACGGCAGUAAACUGUUCUUCCAUGCCCUCUGCUUCAGUUCCUGUCUCCAGGUCUCCAGGUUCCUAUCUGAGAUCCUGCCCCGACUUCCAUCAGUGAUGAACUUGGUUGUGGAAGUACAGUGAAACCAAUCCUUUCCUCCCCAGGCUGCUUUUGGUUUUACUGUAGCAAUAUAAUUCGAACUAGGACAACCUCCAAUCUGGCCACUCUGGUCUCACAGGCUGGCUAAAAUGUAUCCCUUCGGAAUCCACAUAGGCAAGCUGUAACUUCUAUAUCUGGAAUGGAACUAUGGAGGAAGGCUUUUAAGAAGUGUCUCAGUUGCUUCUCUGCUACCUAUUUUUCUACACUGACUGAAGAGCUGACUCUCAGAAAACAAAACUGUAUCACAGACACAGCCAAAAAGGCGGACCAAGUGAAGACACAGGAGACAGCCACCUACAGGCCAAGGAGAGAAGGCCCAGAAGAAACCAACCAUGCAAGUACAUUGAUCUCAGCCUCUUAAAUACAAAAAUAAAGCCAUUGGGUAAACCAC